rnacentral:rRNA from 1 species
GAUGAACGCUGGCGGCGUGCCUAAUACAUGCAAGUCGAACGCACGGGCGAGGAGCUUGCUUCUCCCGUGUUAGUUGCGGACGGGUGAGUAACACGUGGAUAACCUGCCUGUAAGCGUGGGAUAACUUUUGGAAACGGUAGCUAAUACCGGAUAACAUUUUGAGUCGCAUGGUUCCUAAUUAAAAGGCGCUAUUGCUCUCCCUCCAGAUGGGCCUGCGUUGCAUUAGCUAGUUGGUAAGGUAACGGCUUAACAAGGCAACGAUGCAUAGCCGACCUGAGAGGGUGAUCGGCCACACUGGGACUGAGACACGGCCCAGACUCCUACGGGAGGCAGCAGUAGGGAAUCUUCGGCAAUGGGCGGAAGUCUGACGGAGCAACGCCGCGUGAGUGAUGAAGGUCUUCGGAUCGUAAAACUCUGUUAUAAGGGAAGAACAUAUGUGUAAGUAAAUGGGCACAUCUGUAAGGUACCUAUACAGAAAGGCAAGGCUAAACAAGGG